rnacentral:sRNA from 1 species
CUAGUUUCUAAGGAUCAUGUCUGCGAGCCAGGAUUCCCGAUCCAGAGACAAUGGCCCCGAUGGGAUGGAGCCCGAAGGCGUCAUCGAGGUGAGACUGGAGAAAUGGAAUUCUGUCCUCCCCCAUUACAACUUUCAGCCUCACAGUUGUAUAGAGUUAGAGUGGCCUCUUGAUUGAUUUCCCAGACCAUCUAGAAGCAGCUGGUUUCCCUAAAGGGAGGAGGGGUUGUAAGCUCUGAGGCUUUUGUUAGUAGGCACCAGAUUCUGUUUGCUCUGAGACUACAGCUCAGCUCCACCUUUUCCAUGACUCAAGCUUUAAUUUCUUUGCAUCCCCUAGAGUAACUGGAAUGAGAUUGUUGACAGCUUUGAUGACAUGAACCUCUCGGAGUCCCUUCUCCGUGGUAUCUACGCCUAUGGUUUUGAGAAGCCCUCUGCCAUCCAGCAGCGAGCCAUUCUACCUUGUAUCAAGGGUGAGACCUCUCAGUCCCAGAAGACAUUGUGGACUGUCCCUGACCUGGGUAGAGUGGCAUCUGGUUGGUGAUGCCCAUCUCAUAUCAGCCAGGGACAAAGCAAC